rnacentral:rRNA from 1 species
UUAAGCGACUAAGCGUACACGGUGGAUGCCCUGGCAGUCAGAGGCGAUGAAGGACGUGCUAAUCUGCGAAAAGCGUCGGUAAGGUGAUAUGAACCGUUACAGCCGGCGAUGUCCGAAUGGGGAAACCCAGUGCAAUUCGUUGCACUAUCGUUUGAUGAAUACAUAGUCAAACGAGGCGAACCGGGGGAACUGAAACAUCUAAGUACCCCGAGGAAAAGAAAUCAACCGAGAUUCCCCCAGUAGCGGCGAGCGAACGGGGAGCAGCCCGGAGUCUGAAUCAGCUUGUGUGUUAGUGGAAGCGUCUGGAAAGUCGCAGGGUACAGGGUGAUACUCCCGUACACUAAAACACACAGGCUGUGAACUCGAAGAGUAGGGCGGGACACGUGGUAUCCUGUCUGAAUAUGGGGGGACCAUCCUCCAAGGCUAAAUACUCCUGACUGACCGAUAGUGAACCAGUACCGUGAGGGAAAGGCGAAAAGAACCCCGGCGAGGGGAGUGAAAAAGAACCUGAAACCGUGUACGUACAAGCAGUAGGAGCCCACUUGUUGGGUGACUGCGUACCUUUUGUAUAAUGGGUCAGCGACUUAUAUUCUGUAGCAAGGUUAACCGUAUAGGGGAGCCGCAGGGAAACCGAGUCUUAACUGGGCGUUAAGUUGCAGGGUAUAGACCCGAAACCCGGUGAUCUAGCCAUGGGCAGGUUGAAGGUUGGGUAACACUAACUGGAGGACCGAACCGACUAAUGUUGAAAAAUUAGCGGAUGACUUGUGGCUGGGGGUGAAAGGCCAAUCAAACCGGGAGAUAGCUGGUUCUCCCCGAAAGCUAUUUAGGUAGCGCCUCGUGAAUUCAUCUUCGGGGGUAGAGCACUGUUUCGGCUAGGGGGUCAUCCCGACUUACCAACCCGAUGCAAACUACGAAUACCGAAGAAUGUUAUCACGGGAGACACACGGCGGGUGCUAACGUCCGUCGUGAAGAGGGAAACAACCCAGACCGCCAGCUAAGGUCCCAAAGUCAUGGUUAAGUGGGAAACGAUGUGGGAAGGCCCAGACAGCCAGGAUGUUGGCUUAGAAGCAGCCAUCAUUUAAAGAAAGCGUAAUAGCUCACUGGUCGAGUCGGCCUGCGCGGAAGAUGUAACGGGGCUAAACCAUGCACCGAAGCUGCGGCAGCGACACUAUGUGUUGUUGGGUAGGGGAGCGUUCUGUAAGCCGUUGAAGGUGGCCUGUGAGGGUUGCUGGAGGUAUCAGAAGUGCGAAUGCUGACAUAAGUAACGAUAAUGCGGGUGAAAAACCCGCACGCCGGAAGACCAAGGGUUCCUGUCCAACGUUAAUCGGGGCAGGGUGAGUCGACCCCUAAGGCGAGGCCGAAAGGCGUAGUCGAUGGGAAACAGGUUAAUAUUCCUGUACUUGGUGUUACUGCGAAGGGGGGACGGAGAAGGCUAUGUUGGCCGGGCGACGGUUGUCCCGGUUUAAGCAUGUAGGCGGAUGUUCCAGGUAAAUCCGGAACGUCACUAACGCUGAGGUGUGAUGACGAGGCACUACGGUGCUGAAGUGACAAAUGCCCUGCUUCCAGGAAAAGCCUCUAAGCAUCAGGUAACAUCAAAUCGUACCCCAAACCGACACAGGUGGUCAGGUAGAGAAUACCAAGGCGCUUGAGAGAACUCGGGUGAAGGAACUAGGCAAAAUGGUGCCGUAACUUCGGGAGAAGGCACGCUGAUGGUAGGUGAAGUGACUUGCUCAUGGAGCUGAAAUCAGUCGAAGAUACCAGCUGGCUGCAACUGUUUAUUAAAAACACAGCACUGUGCAAACACGAAAGUGGACGUAUACGGUGUGACGCCUGCCCGGUGCCGGAAGGUUAAUUGAUGGGGUUAUCCUCACGGAGAAGCUCUUGAUCGAAGCCCCGGUAAACGGCGGCCGUAACUAUAACGGUCCUAAGGUAGCGAAAUUCCUUGUCGGGUAAGUUCCGACCUGCACGAAUGGCGUAAUGAUGGCCAGGCUGUCUCCACCCGAGACUCAGUGAAAUUGAACUCGCUGUGAAGAUGCAGUGUACCCGCGGCAAGACGGAAAGACCCCGUGAACCUUUACUAUAGCUUGACACUGAACACUGGUCCUUGAUGUGUAGGAUAGGUGGGAGGCUUUGAAGUGUGGACGCCAGUCUGCAUGGAGCCAUCCUUGAAAUACCACCCUUUAAUGGCUGGUGUUCUAACGUGGGCCCGUAAUCCGGGUUGCGGACAGUGUCUGGUGGGUAGUUUGACUGGGGCGGUCUCCUCCUAAAGAGUAACGGAGGAGCACGAAGGUCAGCUAAUCCUGGUCGGACAUCAGGAGGUUAGUGCAAUGGCAUAAGCUGGCUUGACUGCGAGCGUGACGGCGCGAGCAGGUGCGAAAGCAGGUCAUAGUGAUCCGGUGGUUCUGAAUGGAAGGGCCAUCGCUCAACGGAUAAAAGGUACUCCGGGGAUAACAGGCUGAUACCGCCCAAGAGUUCAUAUCGACGGCGGUGUUUGGCACCUCGAUGUCGGCUCAUCACAUCCUGGGGCUGAAGUAGGUCCCAAGGGUAUGGCUGUUCGCCAUUUAAAGUGGUACGCGAGCUGGGUUUAGAACGUCGUGAGACAGUUCGGUCCCUAUCUGCCGUGGGCGCUGGAGAAUUGAGGGGGGCUGCUCCUAGUACGAGAGGACCGGAGUGGACGCAUCACUGGUGUUCGGGUUGUCAUGCCAAUGGCAUUGCCCGGUAGCUAAAUGCGGAAGAGAUAAGUGCUGAAAGCAUCUAAGCACGAAACUUGCCCCGAGAUGAGUUCUCCCUGACCCUUUAAGGGUCCUGAAGGAACGUUGAAGACGACGACGUUGAUAGGCCGGGUGUGUAAGCGCAGCGAUGCGUUGAGCUAACCGGUACUAAUGAACCGUGAGGCUUAACCUU